UAAAGCAUACUCUCGACUAUUGUAUAAUUCCUUAAUACACUUUUAACCCUCCAUCUGUACUGAAUGAUCCCAUACUACUAUGGGAGCCACUAUGCUAAAACUAGUAACAAGAAAUGGAAUUUCUCCAAAAUGCAAGUAUAAACCAACACGGACCAACCAUUGGUAAUUAACAUAAAUGAGCCCAUUAUAGUAACACUAACCAGAAAACCCUAUAACCCAAUAUGUUAAUCUUACACAAGAGCAUUACCGGAAAGAUUAAAAGAGAGAGAAGGAACUCGGCAAAUCCUAACCCCGCCUGUUUACCAAAAACAUCGCCUCUUGACUAAUUAUAAGAGGUCUAGCCUGCCCAGUGACAUAGUUAAACGGCCGCGGUAUUCUGACCGUGCGAAGGUAGCAUAAUCACUUGUUCUUUAAAUAAGGACUAGUAUCAACGGCAUCACGAGGGUUACACUGUCUCCUCCCUCCAAUCAGUGAAACUGAUUUCCCCGUGAAGAAGCGGGGAUAAACCUAUAAGACGAGAAGACCCCAUGGAGCUUUAAACUCAACAACAACCUCCUACAUAAAGUCCUACGUAACCGCGGAAGUUCUGUUUGUUAGUUUUAGGUUGGGGUGACCGCGGAGAAAAACCAAACCUCCACGACGAACGGAAACAACUCCUAAUCUAAGAGCUACUACUCUAAGAAUCAACAAAUUGACAUAAACUGAUCCGAUAAUCGAUCAACGAACCAAGUUACCCUGGGGAUAACAGCGCAAUCCAUUUCAAGAGCCCCUAUCGACAAAUGGGUUUACGACCUCGAUGUUGGAUCAGGGUAUCCCAGUGGUGCAGCCGCUACUAAAGGUUUGUUUGUUCAACAAUUAAAAC
rnacentral:rRNA from 1 species